UACGUAGGCAGCAAGCGUUGUUCGGAAUUACUGGGCGUAAAGAGUGUGUAGGCGGUGUUCUAAGUUUGUCGUGAAAUCUCCCGGCUUAACUGGGAGGGUGCGGCGAAAACUGGAAUGCUAGAGGAUGGGAGAGGUAAGCGGAAUUCCUGGUGUAGCGGUGAAAUGCGUAGAUAUCAGGAGGAACACCUGUGGUGUAGACAGCUUACUGGACCAUUUCUGACGCUGAGACACGAGAGCGUGGGUAGCAAACAGG
rnacentral:rRNA from 1 species